UUCAUUAUCCAUUUGUUAAUUUCAUGAAAAAUGAAGCAAGUUAUGACCAAAAUAAGAAUGAGUGUUGUUGUUGUUCUUGAAUAAGCCCAUAUCUCAUCACAGUCGACCGUUCCAUUUUUCUGAUGCAUUCUGCAUGUGCCACGUGGCGCUUAGAGACUGGUCCGCUUUUCCCAACCUCAUUUUGCUUUUUCUUAUUUUUUUACUAUUUUUUUAUGUGUGGGUCUUAGGCCACCCAUUUGCCAAUAUUUCUUUUAUUUUUGC
rnacentral:lncRNA from 1 species